UACGUAGGGUGCGAGCGUUGUCCGGAAUUAUUGGGCGUAAAGGGCUCGUAGGCGGUUUGUCGCGUCGGGGGUGAAAUCCACUGGCUUAACUGGUGGCUUGCUUUCGAUACGGGCAGACUGGAGGCAUGCAGGGGAGAACGGAAUUCCUGGUGGAGCGGUGAAAUGCGCAGAUAUCAGGAGGAACACCUGCGGUGUAGACGGCUUUCUGGACCAUUGUUGACGCUGAGACACGAAAGCGUGGGUAGCAAACAGG
rnacentral:rRNA from 1 species